UCUCAAUUUUAUAUAUUUUGUCAACUUAAUCCCAAUUCAAAAAUAAAAAAAAUACAUAAGGCUUUAUAAAUAUACAUACAAAAUUAUAAAAAUAUGUUCCAUUUCCUCUUCCUUUUCAUCCUUUGCUGGGGCCACUACAGCAUCUGCAAGCUCGUCCGAAGCAUCUUCUUCAUUAAGCAAACUCCAUCCAGGUAUGAGCUUUCCUGCUUGUCUGAUCAGACAGCUAUAGUCAUAUAUAUUGUGUUGGAGCCAAAACUUGCAGGCCAAGUAAGGGCUUCACUAAUAAUCCGGGUGAGGUUGGUUGUGGGGCAAAUUACUUGCAUUAAUUUCCAAGUCAACACUAUUAUUUGUUACGGCAAAUGGGAGUUCUCACCAUUAUCUCUCUUGGUACUUGAAGUAGAGUUUUUGACCUCUUGCUUGAGGAUGACACUCAUCAGACACGUCAAUCGAAGCAACCAAGCUCUUAGAACUACCCUUUUUUGAUACUGCUCCUGAUGGCUUACAGUCUGAACAGCUUGAGCAGAAGGUUAGUCCGUGGGCGGUUUCUGAAAAUUCAUAAGGGUAAACUCUUUAGUUGGUCAGCCAACUUUUAGGAUGCUUUCAUUUUGGUCACUCAAAAUAAAAUCUUUACAAUUUGGUCACCCAAACUUUACACACCAAAUCAUGUUUACACUUUCAUUUUGGUCAACCAAAAAAUAUUUUUUUAAGUAUUGAUUGGGACAAAAAAAUCAAUGAUUAAAGUGAAAAAGCGAUAGAAAUUUGACAAAUUUUGUGUAUUAUUUUAGUUUCUAUAGUUUUUUUUCACUUUAAUCUUUAAUUUUUUUACCUCAAUUAAUACUAAAAAAGAUAUUUUUGGGUGACCAAAAUGAAAGCGCAAACAUGAUGUAGUGUGUACAGUUAACCGUUGUUAGAGAUUUGAGUGACUAAAAUGAAAGCGUCCUAAAAGUUAAGUGACCAAAUUGUAAAGAUUUCAUUUUGAGUGGCCAAAAUAAAAAUAUCCUAAAAGUUGGGUGAUCAACUAGAGAGUUUACCCUAUUUAUAAAAUGGGUAUUGAUCAACAUAUCGCCAACAUCUAAAAAUUAUAAAAAGGGAUAUUCAUUUCUUUUUUUAAAUAUUUUAUAAUUUUGUAUAUAUUUUUACAGAACUUUAUGUAUUUUUAUAAAAAAAAUAAAUUCUGAACAAUUAUUUUAUUUUUUAAACAUUUUAUUUUUAAACUUUUAACAACGAAGAUUAAAUUAAUAAAAUAUAUAAAACUGAGACUAAAAUUAUUGACUUGGACGAAAUUAAUAAAAUUUAUUAUUAUGCAAAUACAAAAAACCAAGUAUUCCAUUAAUUACUUAAGGAGCCUUUGGAUCUUCGUUUAGCCCUCGUGUAUAGAGAUUUUGUAUUCAAAAUUGUGCAAUCGCAGCAUAAAUCUGUGGUGCGAUGGAAAAGGUGUAAUCACACCAUACCCUAAAAUUUUCAUUGCUCUAUUUUGGUCUCGUUAAAGCUUUAAUGCUGCAUUUGCAACUUAUUUAUCUUUUUUUUAUUCAGUGAAUUAUAAAAAUGUGACAAAAUUCAAAUAAUAAAUACGAUUAGUGCGAUUUAAAUUUA